rnacentral:tRNA from 1 species
GUGUGGUUCAAUGGUAGAACGGCAGCCUCCCAAGCCGCAUACGACGGUUCGACCCCGCUCACAA